UACGUAGGGGGCAAGCGUUGUCCGGAUUUAUUGGGCGUAAAGAGCGUGUAGGCGGCCAUACAGGUCAGCUGUGAAAACUCGAGGCUCAACCUCGAGACGCCGAUGGAAACCGCAUGGCUAGAGUCCGGAAGAGGAGAGUGGAAUUCCCGGUGUAGCGGUGAAAUGCGCAGAUAUCGGGAAGAACACCCGUGGCUAAGGCGGCUCUCUAGUACGGUACUGACGCUGAGACGCGAAAGCGUGGGGAGCGAACAGG
rnacentral:rRNA from 1 species